rnacentral:rRNA from 1 species
UACGUAGGUGGCAAGCGUUGUCCGGAUUUACUGGGCGUAAAGAGCGCGCAGGCGGAUUGUUAAGUCAGGGGUGAAAUCCUGGAGCUCAACUCCAGAACUGCCUUUGAUACUGGCGAUCUUGAGUCCGGGAGAGGUGAGUGGAACUGCGAGUGUAGAGGUGAAAUUCGUAGAUAUUCGCAAGAACACCAGUGGCGAAGGCGGCUCACUGGCCCGGUACUGACGCUGAGGUGCGAAAGCGUGGGGAGCAAACAGG